CUCACAAGAGUCUCUGCAGCUUCCGGUCUCUUGGAAUACUUGCUUUUUGUGCCCUGAAUUACCAUGUAAGAAGUCCAACUCCUCUGUGACUACCACGCUUGAGGAAAGCCAAGCUAGCUACAUGGAGAGGUCACAAGGAAAGGGACAUUUCCAAACAGCGCUCAGCUGUCUGCUACCCCAGCCCGAGAGCCAGACAGGGUUGCCGUCCUUAAGGAUCAAGCUUUAUUGUUGGUGUGUCCUCCCAGAUGACUACAGACUCUGCUCACAGGAAGAACCUGGCACCAGUUAUUUUCCCUGCUGGCCUCAAUCAAGGCUCCUCUCAACUGCCAGAAGAGGCUAACACAACAUUGUAAAGCAAUUAUCCUCCAACUGCAAAGAGAGAGACAGACUCACCAUGCACAAGUUAGCGGCAUCCCUGGUCCAGCCUACUUACUGUGUCAUCACCAGAAAGACCCACAAGGAACACAGACUGGAAUUCCAACAAGGUCAGAAGCCACUGUCAGGCUACCUUCAGGGGAUGAUCAUGGGACUUCAGCAAUGCCUGAGAUUAGACCUGAUCUAGCCAACUGAAGAUCUCUAGCUUCCCUUAGCAGCUGAGCCGAGCUGAUACCUCCUGCCUCCUCCAGCCUCUCGUGCAUGUCUUCCAGCUCUCGGACGAGGUCAGCUCUCUCCCUCUCUACCUUGGCUCGAGUGGUCGUUUCAGUUUCCA